rnacentral:misc_RNA from 1 species
UUGGAUGGCUGUGAUAAAUUAGGCCUGUUAUGAGGUCGGUUUGCAUGAAAAUUCCAUCCAAACCAACAAUCAAUCUAAGAAAAAUUCAUUGUGAAUAUAUUGAAAACCGACCCAACCCGUUGUCAAAAAUGAAUGGAUGGCCGAACGGGCAGUUGCCAAAUAUAAUCAUUACCUAUAAAACUUUUGUAGAAUAAUUCAUUACCUAUAAAACUAUGAUCCACCAUAGAUACCACUAAAG